rnacentral:lncRNA from 1 species
GGGAGAGAUGUCCCUUUGCAGCAGCUGUGCACAGGGCUUCUGCACCUCCCCUGGGGACAGCUUGGUGUCUUGGCUCUGCCUUCAGAGCCAGGUCCUUUGGGGACGGUUCUCCCCACUCUUCCUGAUGCCUGUUGUGUGGUCGUGUCUCACCUCGCUGCCUGCUGGCCCACUUGAGCCCAGCUCCUUCUCUGGAGAAGUUAAUUAUCAAAUCCUAGCAAGAAGGGCAAGUGGUGAUGAUUCCACGACAGAGUGAUAAUACCUCACCUCUGCCUCCUGAACAACUCGGCCUGGUUUCAGCCUGUGAAAAUGAUGCCAGUCCUGGAAGAUGCCUAGUGACAUUGCGGAGGGAUGACCUGCUCCCAACCAAGGAUUCUUUUCUUCCAGGAUGAUGUCCUCCGUCAUAGGUUAUGAGAUGUGCCCUAUAACCAUUUAUGCCAACAGGACUGGUUCAUUGAAAUAUAUGGGCACCAGUUUUAACUGUUUUGGUGCAUUGUGUUAGAAAGUAGCAGCAAUUGAAUCAUUGUCGCUUGAUUUCUGUCCCUUCGUUUUUCAUGCCUGUCAGCAAGCAAAAGUGGGACAAAUAUUUGGAAUUUCUUUUUUCUGGAACACCUUUUCUUAAAGUGUAAGAUUUAAAUGGUUUUCAGUACCAGUCAUCACCAUAAUCAAUUUUAGACCAUUUUCAUCACCUCUAAAAGAA